rnacentral:antisense_RNA from 1 species
AUUUCUUGCUAGGGAGCAGGAGCCAGGCCGUGGCCUGCUGACUGCAUCUGCCAGAUGACUACAAAUGUUUUUAUAGAUUGAGAGGAACUACACUCAAGGAGCCUCAUGCAUACCUGGACCUGAUUUAAAUGAUGAGAUGCUGGACUUCAAGCAGAUGCUGUAAUGAUAUGAGGUUCUCAGGGACCUUGGGAAAUAGUAAAUGUAUUUUGCGUGUGAGAGGGACACAAAUCAUUGGAGGCCAAAAGGGUGAACUGAGGACAGAUGCUAGCGUAGCUCCCACAAUCCCCACCUCCUGGUUUCACCCUCGUGGGAUCUCUCCAUGAGUGUGGAUGGAACCUGUGAUUUGCUUCUAACUAGUAGAAUUUGGCAAAAAAUGAUGAGAUAUAUGUGAUUAUGUUUACAUGAUUAUAUUAUAUAAGAUUCUGAGUACAUUGAGCUGCAUACAGAGAGCACGGGGGCAAGUGUGAGCCAGGUAGGCACUGGACAGCUCUGUGCCUCACUGAGGAAAAAUAACUAAACAUGGGCAAAAGAGAUCCAUGGAACCUGAGAGGCAAAGUGUUAUUAUAUGCAUUCU